rnacentral:rRNA from 1 species
AGUGAACGCUGGCGGUAGGCCUAACACAUGCAAGUCGAACGGCAGCACAGUAAGAGCUUGCUCUUACGGGUGGCGAGUGGCGGACGGGUGAGGAAUACAUCGGAAUCUACUUUUUCGUGGGGGAUAACGUAGGGAAACUUACGCUAAUACCGCAUACGACCUACGGGUGAAAGCAGGGGAUCUUCGGACCUUGCGCGAUUGAAUGAGCCGAUGUCGGAUUAGCUAGUUGGCGGGGUAAAGGCCCACCAAGGCGACGAUCCGUAGCUGGUCUGAGAGGAUGAUCAGCCACACUGGAACUGAGACACGGUCCAGACUCCUACGGGAGGUAGCAGUGGGGAAUAUUGGACAAUGGGCGCAAGCCUGAUCUAGCCAUACCGCGUGGGUGAAGAAGGCCUUCGGGUUGUAAAGCCCUUUUGUUGGGAAAGAAAAGCAGCAGGUUAAUACCCCGCUGUUCUGACGGUACCCAAAGAAUAAGCACCGGCUAACUUCGUG